rnacentral:rRNA from 1 species
CAGCCGUAAACUAUGCGCGUUAGGUGUAUCGGUGACCACGAGUUACCGAGGUGCCGAAGGGAAACCGUGAAACGUGCCGCCUGGGAAGUACGGUCGCAAGGCUGAAACUUAAAGGGAAUUGGCGGGGGAGCACAACAACGGGUGGAGCCUGCGGUUUAAUUGGACUCAACGCCGGACAACUCACCGGGGACGACAGCAAUAUGUAGGCCAGGCUGAAGACCUUGCCUGAAUCGCUGAGAGGAGGUGCAUGGCGUAGACGUCU